UUUGUAGUUUAAACUUGCCUCCUCAUAUCUCUCGUCUUGUUGUAUGCCAAGUGCAGGUCCACCUUCAUUGCUAAAGCUUCCCUGGCAGGAAUCGAUAUCUUGAUACUCCCUUUCUCUCGGAGCUUAUCUAUGAGUGCCUGCCGUUUCUCCCGGCUGCUGGCAGUCACCUCAUUUGCCAGCUGAGUACACUCAUCCCCACCACUGAUCCUUUUCCUCUGAUGUCUAAGUUCAGAGGAACGACGCCGCACAGUCCGAGAACUUGCCUGCCCAGAAGGUACUCUAGGAGACCUGACUUGCAUUAGUGUGAUGGGCUAUUUGGUACAAGUACAUAAUAAUAAACAUGUGCAGUGCAUAUUGUAUUCAUUAUACCUGUCCUCCUGUCUGUAAUUGUAGUGUUUGAGAAUGUUCAGGAUCGGAUGACAGACUCCGUGUUACAAGAGAUGCCUGGAGUUUCUUCUCUGCUGGUGUUAGGGGUAUGUGCGACGGCUUUUUUAUCACAUGUGUGAUAUUUGUGGUCAGACUUCGAAUGAAGGCCAGGAUUGCUUCUGGAGGUUGCCUGACAGUGCAAAAAUCAGCCACAUGAUCAGCGCCACAACAGGGACAACAAAGGGAUUCGGCUUUUAGUAAGCUCUGGCAGCAGCAUUCAGCACAUGCGUACUUUUGGCACGUCGUGAGCUCAAUUGGUUUGUUAAGAAGUGAGGAGCACAACUCACAUUUUAAUUCAUCAGGAACAUUCAGUAUGUUAGCAGGGUCCAUGUCCGGGAACAUUCAGUAUGUUAGCAGGGUCCAUGUCCGGUGUAACGGAAUUUGCUGCUAUUUCCCUUAUGUGUUUAAUAAUAGCCUGUGGAGAGAUGUUGGGUGGUCUGCCAGCUUUGAAGGGUUUCUUGGGUCUCCCUGCUUUUGAAAUAGCCGUGCACACUGAACACUGCUCGUUGUGCAUGUGAUCAACCCACUGGUGUAUUUGUAAGCUGGUGGGUUUGUAGUCUGUUUUAUUUGCUUUUGCACGCUUGGUGAAAUACAUUAUAUUUCUACAGGGAUGACAAUAGCAUUGAGGAUGGAUGGAGGGAUUAUCAGAGCUUAUAUGAAGACCAAAUGUGUCCAAUAGUUCGCUGGCAUUUUCUGAACACUGAUAUUUGGUAGUCCUUUUCCCUUUAGAGGCUAAGAGACUUUUCCCACACACUCUACACAGUCUCUCUAAGGCUGCUUUGUGCGCUUCUGUCAUUCCUGUGAAUUGUAAUGUAUAGUUUACGUUUUACAGCUGUUUCAUUGUACAUUUUAAUCAAUAUUUGAUGUUGCAUAUCUCACUGCAAAAAAGUUAGCCUGACAGAUGUAUUUCAGUAGUACAACACUUCCUCUUCAAGAUGGUAGUAGACUCAAUUCCUGGAAAUUUUCUGCUUUCCACUACAAAGUACUUUACUACAACCACUCAUUGCAUGAUUGUUUUGAUAACAAAACCACGAGGUAUGUUUGGCCUGCGCAAAACCAUAUUGUUGUUAAUUUGUGUGCGCAGUCACAGCAGUGACGUAGAAUAACCAUUAAAGAACAUGAUUACAUCACAAAAAACGUUCCUAUGCAACAGGAACAUAAAAAUAAUUCAAGUCAAAAAGAUUGCAAAACAAGAAGUUCAAAAAUUAAUACCACGCCCAUUUUUUCUAAUAUUUCGUGAAACAUUCCAUUGUUCCAAUUAUAAACUAAGUGGCCAACUUGAAACACCUGUGCCAUUAGCUGGCAUUGAGAAGAACCUUCAUCAAGAACAAGGUACGUGUGUAUAAUGUGUAGUUAUGCAGUGCAAUGAGUUGACUGUGUACUAUUGAAUGUACAGUACAAAGAAUGGGAACCUAGCAUGCUUACUAGUCUGUAUGUACAUGCACUUGUAUACAAGGUAUGCUUCAAUGUAUGCAGUUUAGGUGUGUACAGGGAAACGUGUGUCAAUUGAGAACACUAGCUCACAAUAUUUGUACAUGACAUUGUACAGUACGUGUACCAGACCCUUCAUCACACUACCAGUUUGAAUGUGUCCAUGUGUUGUUUAUCCUGGCUACAGGACACUGCCGAGGGUAGCACUUCAGUGCUCUAGUUCUAAUUGUAGAUUGACUGAUCGAUUUGUCUUCUGUACUAUUGUUUGAUUUUUCUGCCCCUCAUCUUUUCCGGCCCCCAGUUAUGCGGCCAUUUUUCAGCCCGGCCAAGUGUUGAGGAGACAAGAAGAGGCACUGAGAAUGGAGGUAGAGGCGUACUAUGCUGCUAAGAAGGCCACUCAGUGUGACUAUGACCGUGUGACUCUUUAACCCCUCAGUUCCAUUAGGAUAACUGGGGGCCGGAAAAGAUAAGCCUACUAUGCUGCUAAGAAAGAGAGGGGCCUCACGUAAACUGGCCACUCAGUGUGACUAUGAUCAUGUGAAUCUUUAACCCCUCAGUUCCCGAGCCCCACCCCUCACUGUCUGACUCGGAAGAGGAGAUAGACUUUGUAUUCUGUGAGAAGGCGUCCACCCUACCCUCGGACAAGACCCCAACCAAGGACCUGAACUUGUUAUGAGACUGUUAAAUAUUAUUUUGUCUGUUUUUGUACUAUUUUCUGGCAAUGUAAUUAUGUAUGUACCACUUCAUGUCAUCAUAAUAACUAUAAUUAUAUGCGAUAAAAUUCUGUUGCAACUUAAUUGUCUCAACAUAAUAAAAAGAAUAUCAAUAUCAUUAUAAACUCA